rnacentral:lncRNA from 1 species
UGUGAUUUGGAACAAGCAUCAAAAGCAUGAUAUAUAAAAGCUUAAGUAACCUUUUUGAUAGAAAGUAAUAGUGAUAAAUCUAUGCAUCAAAAAGAAGAAUUUGUGAUAUCUUAUUUGCUCAAAGUAUGCAUUGAUGACAUCAUUUUUGGUUCUACUAAUGAAGAAUUAUAUUGCAAGGUGAGUUUGAAAUAUGUAUGAUGAAUGAAUUAACAUCUUCUCUCAAACUCCAAAUUAAGACAAACAGGAAAGGGGAUCUUCAUUGACCAACGUUAGUCCACAAGAAAACUCUUAUAGAAGAUUGGCAUGAAGAAGGUAUAUCUAUGACCCCAUCUUGUAGAAAUUGAAAAGGAUGAACAAAGUAGAU